rnacentral:rRNA from 1 species
UACGUAGGGGGCAAGCGUUGUCCGGAAUCAUUGGGCGUAAAGAGCGUGUAGGCGGCCCGGUAAGUCCGCUGUGAAAGUCCAGGGCUCAACCCUGGGAUGCCGGUGGAUACUGUCGGGCUCGAGUCCGGAAGAGGAGUGUGGAAUUCCUGGUGUAGCGGUGAAAUGCGCAGAUAUCGAGGAGGAACACCAAUGGCGAAGGCAGC